CCCACACCCAUGUGUAUAGGACCCCAAAGGAUCACCAUUAAAUUUGGCAUAGAUCUCUAGAAAAGUUAUCACAUGCGUGUGGGACUUGACUUUUCUAAAGAUCUGUGCCAAGUUUAGUGGUGAUCCUUUGGGGUCCUAUACACAUGGAUGUGGG
rnacentral:pre_miRNA from 1 species